AUGGGCAUACCACAUUGAAAACACUUGUUCUCAUCUGAUCACCGAAGGUAAUCAAUGUCAGGCCUGGUCAGUAAUUGGGUGGGUGACCACCUGUGAACACUGGGUGCAGUAGGCU